rnacentral:rRNA from 1 species
AUUGAACGCUGGCGGCAGGCCUAACACAUGCAAGUCGAGCGGAUGAAGGGAGCUUGCUCCUGGAUUCAGCGGCGGACGGGUGAGUAAUGCCUAGGAAUCUGCCUGGUAGUGGGGGAUAACGUCCGGAAACGGGCGCUAAUACCGCAUACGUCCUGAGGGAGAAAGUGGGGGAUCUUCGGACCUCACGCUAUCAGAUGAGCCUAGGUCGGAUUAGCUAGUUGGUGGGGUAAAGGCCUACCAAGGCGACGAUCCGUAACUGGUCUGAGAGGAUGAUCAGUCACACUGGAACUGAGACACGGUCCAGACUCCUACGGGAGGCAGCAGUGGGGAAUAUUGGACAAUGGGCGAAAGCCUGAUCCAGCCAUGCCGCGUGUGUGAAGAAGGUCUUCGGAUUGUAAAGCACUUUAAGUUGGGAGGAAGGGCAGUAAAUUAAUACCUUGCUGUUUUGACGUUACCAACAGAAUAAGCACCGGCUAACUUCGUGCCAGCAGCCGCGGUAAUACGAAGGGUGCAAGCGUUAAUCGGAAUUACUGGGCGUAAAGCGCGCGUAGGUGGUUCAGCAAGUUGGAUGUGAAAUCCCCGGGCUCAACCUGGGAACUGCAUCCAAAACUACUGAGCUAGAGUACGGUAGAGGGUGGUGGAAUUUCCUGUGUAGCGGUGAAAUGCGUAGAUAUAGGAAGGAACACCAGUGGCGAAGGCGACCACCUGGACUGAUACUGACACUGAGGUGCGAAAGCGUGGGGAGCAAACAGGAUUAGAUACCCUGGUAGUC